CCUACGGGGGGCAGCAGUGAGGAAUAUUGGUCAAUGGACGAAAGUCUGAACCAGCCAAGCAGCGUGAAGGAUGACGGCUCUAUGGGUUGUAAACUUCUUUUGUAUGGGGAUAAAACCAGGUACGUGUACCGGGUUGAAAGUAUCGUACGAAUAAGGAUCGGCUAACUCCGUGCCAGCAGCCGCGGUAAUACGGAGGAUCCGAGCGUUAUCCGGAUUUAUUGGGUUUAAAGGGAGCGUAGGUGGAUUGUUAAGUCAGAGGUGAAAUGUCGGGGCUGAACCCCGAAACUGCAGUUGAUACUGGCGGACUUGAGAAUAGGUGAGGUAGGCGGAAUGCGUGGUGUAGCGGUGAAAUGCUUAGAUAUCACGCAGAACUCCGAUUGCGAAGGCAGCUUACCGGACGACAUCUGACGCUGAGGCACGAAAGCGUGGGUAUCAAACAGGAUUAGAUACCCGAGUAGUC
rnacentral:rRNA from 1 species